rnacentral:rRNA from 1 species
CCUACGGGUGGCAGCAGUGGGGAAUAUUGGACAAUGGGCGAAACCCUGAUGCAGCGACGCCGCGUGAGUGAAGAAGUCUCUCGGUAUGUAAAGCUCUUUUAGCAGGGAAGAAAAUGACGGUACCUGACUAAGAAGCCCCGGCUCACUACAUGACAGCAGCCGCGCUAAUACGUAGGGGGCAAGCGUUAUCCGGAUUUACUGGGUGUAAAGGGAGCGUAGACGGCGCUGCAAGUCCGGAGUGAAAGCCGAGGGCUUAACCAUGGUACUGCAGUGGAAACUGUGGAUCUUGAGUGCGGGAGGGGCAGGCGGAAUGCGUGGUGUAGCGGUGAAAUGCGUAGAUAUUAGGCAGAACACCGGCGGCGAAGGCGGCCUGCUGGACCAUAACUGACGUUGAGGCUCGAAAGCGUGGGGAGCAAACAGGAUUAGAUACCCCAGUAGUC